rnacentral:rRNA from 1 species
GACGAACGCUGGCGGCACGCCUAACACAUGCAAGUCGAACGGAGUUAUGAGAGCUUGCUUUCAUAACUUAGUGGCGGACGGGUGAGUAACACGUGAGCAACCUACCUUUAAGAAAGGGAUAGCUUCUGGAAACGGAUGGUAAUACCUUAUAACAUAGAAAUACGGCAUCGUAUUUUAUCAAAGAUUUAUCGCUUAAAGAUGGGCUCGCGGCUGAUUAGCUAGAUGGUGAGGUAAUGGCUCACCAUGGCGACGAUCAGUAGCCGGACUGAGAGGUUGAACGGCCACAUUGGGACUGAGACACGGCCCAGACUCCUACGGGAGGCAGCAGUGGGGGAUAUUGCACAAUGGAGGAAACUCUGAUGCAGCGAUGCCGCGUGGAGGAAGAAGGUCUUCGGAUUGUAAAACUCCUGCUAUCGGGGACGAAGAUGACGGUACCCGACGAGGAAGCUCCGGCUAACUACGUGCCAGCAGCCGCGGUAAUAGUC